AUGAAAGGAGUUCAGAUUACUAUUCCUAUUCUUGAAGUCGUCUUCCAUGUUCCGAUGUAUGCCAAAUAUUUCAAGGAAUUAUUAACAAAGAAAAGAAGCAUGUCUGAGCCAGAAGUUGUAACUCUAUCAAAGGAAUGCAGUGCAAGAAUUCAGAAUUCCAUGCCUGAAAAAUUGGAUGAUCCAGGAAGUUUUUGUGUACCAUGUGUGAUUGGAAACAAAACUUACAGUGCUCUAUGUGACUUGGGCUCAAGUGUUAGUGUGUUACCACAUUCAGUCAGCAAAAGGAUGUUCUUGGGAGAAUUAAAUCCAACAUCCAUAACUCUUCAGUUAGUCGACAGAACAUACAGGAGACCUGUUGGAAUUCUUGAGGAUGUUCCAAUCAAAGUUGGGAAGUUUGCUUAUCCGGUUGACUUUGUAGUGCUAGAUAUGGAGGACAAGAGUGAGGCCGUGAUUCUUGGAAGACCAUUUUUGGCCACAGCUGGUGCACUUAUUGAUGUCCAAGGAGCUAAAUUGAGCUUGAGGUUCGGAAAUGAAAAGGUGGAGUUUGACAUGAAGCAUGCAACACAUGUUCCGCAAAGAGAAGAACACUGCUACAGAAUUGAUACAUUACAGAAAUGUGUGGAAGAAGGUUAUGAAGAGAGGUAUGGAAGUAAUUGUUGUGCGGUAGUUGAGGAGGACAAUAGUGAAAUUAGAUGA
rnacentral:rRNA from 1 species